rnacentral:tRNA from 1 species
GUGAACAUAGUUUAACCAAAACCCUAGGCUGUGGCUCUAACAAUGAAGAUUAAAAUUCUUCUGUUCACCG